UGAGGAAGGAAAGGCGCGUGAUGCAUGUUGCCAUACAAUCAUUGAAGGGAAUACAACUGUUAUAUCCCCACUUCUGAUGCCAGAUGCCAAGCAGAGUUGUGGGGCAAUGGUCCAGUGUGCGCAGGAGGGGGCAACUGGGCGAGCUAAGAGCCGAAAUUGAAGACCAGGAACAGCCAGACAACAUGAGAUCCUUCAACCCUGAGCCGGAGAGAGAAUAAGUUACAUCUCCAGAGAUGUGGUACCAGACCGACGUUCCGCCAAAGUCAACGUGGAAGUCUGUGAAGCAGCCCUGGACACUCAUCAGACAGUACCUGAAAGAGAGAGAUAGAGGGAAGAAAAUACAUCUUUACAUCCAACAUCAACCAGCACUGAAACAAUAUGCCUUGGCCACAUGUUGUCCACCCAGUCUAUCAAAUCCACCUGGGGAGAAAAGGUAGGAGUUGAACCUGUCACUCUGGAGCUUCUCAUCCAGGUCAAACGUCCUCUUCCCCUCAAUCUCAUCGUCCGAGAUCCCGUCAUCCUGGUAGCGCCGCCGCGUCCCCGUACGCUAGUGACACAAGGCAGAAACUCAACUUGUUGUAUCACUUUGAAUGAAUUUUCUCCCAUGCAUAUGUAACAGUAUUGCUUCCACUCAAGGAGCACAGUUGUUGUUGCUCGACCACGAGAUCAUUUGCAGACCGUUCACUCUUUGGUCUGCAUGGUCAAUGCAGCAGAUGCAACAAUAUGUAGGUUUUUUUCUGGAUCAAAAAGGGGCUUAGGUGGUGGGCGAGGCAAUGGGCCCAAUCAGUCCAUAUGGACUUCAGAGACAAUUUUAGAGGCCCCCAUCUUGGCGGUGUAGAGAAAUGUUUUAAUACUUAUGCAAAUUUCCUUAAAUUCUACAAAUUUCUCCAUGUAACUGAGAGAAAUUGUUUCAGUUUUAAAGCAAAUUUCCUGUAUUCUACACAUUUUGCCAUAAAGCUGAGAGAAUCUUGCAGUUUUUAAGUUAAUAUCCUGCAAUUGUAAAUAUUCUGUCAUUGAAGCUGAGAGAAUUUAGCCGUUUUAAAGCUAAUUUCCAGCAAUUCUAUGCAUGUGGCCAUGGCUAAUGCUAUGUUAUUUUGUUCAAACAUUAUAAUAAAAACAAUACUGCUAAAUUAA